rnacentral:rRNA from 1 species
UACGUAGGGUGCAAGCGUUGUCCGGAAUUAUUGGGCGUAAAGAGCUUGUAGGCGGUUUGUCGCGUCUGCUGUGAAAUUUCGGGGCUCAACCCCGAACUUGCAGUGGGUACGGGCAGACUAGAGUGUGGUAGGGGAGACUGGAAUUCCUGGUGUAGCGGUGAAAUGCGCAGAUAUCAGGAGGAACACCAAUAGCGAAGGCAGCUCGCUGGGACGGUAUUGACGCUGAGGCGCGAAAGCGUGGGGAGCAA